rnacentral:rRNA from 1 species
GGUGAACGCUGGCGGCGUGCUUAAGACAUGCAAGUCGAACGCAGUCUUCGGACUGAGUGGCGCACGGGUGAGUAACACGUAACUGACCUACCCCCAAGUCGCGGAUAACUGGCCGAAAGGUCAGCUAAUACGUGAUGUGAUGUCCCCUUUCUGGGGGGCCAUUAAAGGUUUACUGCUUGGGGAUGGGGUUGCGUUCCAUCAGCUAGUUGGCGGGGUAAAGGCCCGCCAAGGCAACGACGGAUAGCCGGCCUGAGAGGGUGGCCGGCCACAGGGGCACUGAGACACGGGUCCCACUCCUACGGGAGGCAGCAGUUAGGAAUCUUCCACAAUGGGCGAAAGCCUGAUGGAGCGACGCCGCGUGAGGGAUGAAGGUUCUCGGAUCGUAAACCUCUGAAUCAGGGACGAAAGACGCGUAAGCGGGUUGACGGUACCUGAGUAAUAGCACCGGCUAACUCCGUGCCAGCCGCCGCAGUAA